rnacentral:tRNA from 1 species
AGAUUAGUAGGUUAAUUAAAAACUUAUUACUUGUGGUGUAAUAGAUCUAAGAUUUAGCUAAUUUA